rnacentral:rRNA from 1 species
GAGUUCGAUUAUGCCAUGCGAGUCGAGAGGUGUAAGACCCUCGGCAUACUGCUCAGUAACACGUGGACAACCUACCCUGGAAGGGGGGAUAACCCCGGGAAACUGGGGAUAAUACCCCAUAGACUAUGGAUGCUGGAAUGCUUUGUAGUUGAAAGGUCCNCCCCUUCAGGAUGGGUCUGCGGCCGAUUAGGUUGUUGUUGGGGUAACGGUCCAACAAGCCUGUAAUCGGUACGGGUUGUGGGAGCAAGAGCCCGGAGAUGGAUUCUGAGACACGAAUCCAGGCCCUACGGGGCGCAGCAGGUNCGAAACUUNACANU